rnacentral:rRNA from 1 species
CCUACGGGAGGCAGCAGUGAGGAAUAUUGGUCAAUGGACGAGAGUCUGAACCAGCCAAGUAGCGUGAAGGAUGACUGCCCUAUGGGUUGUAAACUUCUUUUAUAUGGGAAUAAAAUGUUCCACGUGUGGGAUUUUGUAUGUACCAUAUGAAUAAGGAUCGGCUAACUCCGUGCCAGCAGCCGCGGUAAUCCGGAGGAUCCGAGCGUUAUCCGGAUUUAUUGGGUUUAAAGGGAGCGUAGGUGGAUUGUUAAGUCAGUUGUGAAAGUUUGCGGCUCAACCGGAAAAUUGCAGUUGAAACUGGCAGUCUUGAGUAUAGUAGAGGUGGGCGGAAUUCGUGGUGUAGCGGUGAAAUGCUUAGAUAUCACGAAGAACUCCGAUUGCGAAGGCAGUUCACUGGACGGCAACUGACACUGAGGCGCGAAAGUGUGGGUAUCAAACAGGAUUAGAUACCCCUGAAGUC